rnacentral:rRNA from 1 species
AUUGAACGCUGGCGGCAGGCCUAACACAUGCAAGUCGGACGGUAGCACAGGGGAGCUUGCUCCCCGGGUGACGAGUGGCGGACGGGUGAGUAAUGUCUGGGAAACUGCCCGGUGGAGGGGGAUAACUACUGGAAACGGUAGCUAAUACCGCAUAACGUCUUCGGACCAAAGUGGGGGACCUUAGGGCCUCACGCCACCGGAUGUGCCCAGAUGGGAUUAGCUAGUAGGUGGGGUAACGGCUCACCUAGGCGACAAUCCCCAGCUGGUCAGGAGAGGAUGACCAGCCACACUGGAACUGAGACACUGUCCAGACUCCUACGGGAGGCAGCAGUGGGGAAUAUUGCACAAUGGGCGCAAGCCUGAUGCAGCCAUGCCGCGUGUAUGAAGAAGGCCUUCGGGUUGUAAAGUACUUUCAGCGGGGAGGAAGGCGGUGAGGUUAAUAACCUCGCCUAUUGACGUUACCCGCAGAAGAAGCACCGGCUAACUCCGUGCCAGCAGCCGCCGUAA